UACCAGCACCCCGAGUGGUCGGGACGUUUAUUGGGCCUAAAGCAUCCGUAGCCGGUUCUACAAGUCUUCCGUUAAAUCCAACUGCUUAACAGGUGGGCUGCGGAAGAUACUAUAGAGCUAGGAGGCGGGAGAGGCAAGCGGUACUCGAUGGGUAGGGGUAAAAUCCGUUGAUCCAUUGAAGACCACCAGUGGCGAAGGCGGCUUGCCAGAACGCGCUCGACGGUGAGGGAUGAAAGCUGGGGGAGUAAACCGG
rnacentral:rRNA from 1 species